rnacentral:rRNA from 1 species
CAGCAGGCGCGAAAACUUUACAAUGUCGGCAACGGCGAUAAGGGAACCUCGAGUGCCAGGUUACAAAUCUGGCUGUCGUGAUGCCUAAAAAGCAUUGCAUAGCAAGGGCCGGGCAAGACCGGUGCCAGCCGCCGCGGUAACACCGGCGGCUCGAGUGGUAACCGUUAUUAUUGGGUCUAAAGGGUCUGUAGCCGGCCGGGUAAGUCUCUUGGGAAAUCUGGCAGCUUAACUGUCAGGCUUUCAGGAGAUACUGCCUGGCUCGAGGCCGGGAGAGGUGAGAGGUACUUCAGGGGUAGGGGUGAAAUCUUGUAAUCCUUGAAGGACCACCAGUGGCGAAGGCGUCUCACCAGAACGGACCUGACGGCAAGGGACGAAAGCUAGGGGCACGAACCGGAUUAGAUACCCGGGUAGUCCUAGCCGUAAACGAUACUCGCUAGGUGUCGGCCACGGUGCGACCGUGGUCGGUGCCGUAGGGAAGCCGUGAAGCGAGCCACCUGGGAAGUACGGCCGCAAGGCUGAAACUUAAAGGAAUUGGCGGGGGAGCAC